rnacentral:rRNA from 1 species
GACACACGCUAGCGGCGUACUUAACGAAUGCGAGUCGAGCGACGAAAGGGAACUUCGGUUCCCCUGAGAGCGGCGAACGGGUGAGUAACACGUAGGUGACCUGCCCCGGAGCCGGGGAUAGCCCGCGGAGACGUGGGGUAAUACCCGGUACGCUCAUCGGCUUAGAUGCCGAUGAGGAAAGGAGCGAUCCGCUCUGGGAUGGGCCUGCGGCCCAUUAGCUAGUUGGUGGGGUAACGGCCUACCAAGGCGACGAUGGGUAGCUGGUCUGAGAGGAUGUCCAGCCACACUGGGACUGAGACAUGGUCCAGACUCCUACGGGAGUUAGCAUCGGGGGAUAUUGCGCAAUGGGCGAAAGCCCGACGCAGUGACGCCGCGUGCAGGAUGAAGGCCCUAGGGUCGUAAACUGCUGUCGGGUGGGAUGAACGUUGAGGGUAAUGCCUUGACUUGACAGUACCACCCAAGAAAGCCCCAGCUAACUACGUGCCAGCAGCCGCGGUAAAAUCAACGUG